AGGCCGUACCGUAAACCGACACUGGUGGAUGAGUAGAGUAUACUAAGGUGUUGAAAGAAUGAUGUUGAAGGAACUCGGCAAAUUAUACCUGUAACUUCGGAAGAAGGGUAACCUGCUUUUAGGCAACUAUGAGUAGGUGGCACAAAAUAGGGAGUAGCGACUGUUUACUAAAAACACAGGACUCUGCAAACACGCAAGUGGAAGUAUAGGGUCUGACGCCUGCCCGGUGCUGGAAGGUUAAUAGGAGGGGUGCAAGCUCUGAAUUGAAGCCCCAGUAAACGGCGGCCGUAACACUGACGGUCCUAAGGUAGCGAAAUUCCUUGUCGGGUAAGUUCCGACCCGCACGAAUGGCGUAACGAUUUCUCCACUGUCUCCAACAUCACUUCAGCGAAAUUGAAUUCCCCGUGCAGAUGCGGGGUACCCGCGGUUAGACGAAGAGACCCCGUGCACCUUUACUAUAGCUUUACAUUGCUAUUAAAAGUGUGAUGUGCAGGAUAGGUGGGAGACUUUGAAGUUAUGGCGCUAGCUAUAAUGGAGUCAACCUUGAGAUACCACCCUUUACACUUUUGAUAUCUAACUAUGUUUCAUUAUCUGGAACUAGGACAUUGUAUGGUGGGUAGUUUGACUGGGGCGGUCGCCUCCUAAAAAGUAACGGAGGCGUGCGAAGGUAAGCUAGAGCUGGUCGGAAAUCAGCUUGAUAGUACAAUGGCAUAAGCUUGCCUGACUGCGAGGCUGACAAGCCAAGCAGAGACGAAAGUCGGUCAUAGUGAUCCGGUGAUUCUGUAUGGAAGGGUCAUCGCUCAACGGAUAAAAGGUACGCCGGGGAUAACAGGCUGAUGGUGUUCGAGAGUUCAUAUCGACGACACCGUUUGGCACCUCGAUGUCGACUCAUCACAUCCUGGGGCUGGAGAAGGUCCCAAGGGUUCGGCUGUUCGCCGAUUAAAGCGGUACGUGAGCUGGGUUUAGAACGUCGUGAGACAGUUCGGUCCCUAUCUGCCAUGGGUGUUGGAGACUUGCGAGGAUCUGUCCCUAGUACGAGAGGACCGGGAUGGACGUACCUCUGGUGCACCGGUUGUUCCGCCAGGAGCAUCGCCGGGUAGCUAAGUACGGAACGGAUAACCGCUGAAGGCAUCUAAGCGGGAAACCAGCCUCAAAACCAGGUCUCCCCAAGGGCCGUGGAAGACCACCACGUCGAUAGGCCGGAGAUGUAAGCGCAGCAAUGCGUUCAGUUGACCGGUACUAAU
rnacentral:rRNA from 1 species